rnacentral:rRNA from 1 species
GACGAACGCUGGCGGCGUGCCUAAUACAUGCAAGUAGAACGCUUAAGGAGGAGCUUGCUUCUCUGGAUGAGUUGCGCAGGGGUGAGUAACGCGUAGGUAACCUGCCUGGUAGCGGGGGAUAACUAUUGGAAACGAUAGCUAAUACCGCAUAAUAGUAGAUGUUGCAUGACAUUUGCUUAAAAGGUGCAAUUGCAUCACUACCAGAUGGACCUGCGUUGUAUUAGCGAGUUGGUGAGGUAACGGCUCACCAAGGCAACGAUACAGAGCCGACCCUGGAGGGUGAUCGGCUACACUGGGACUGGGACACGGCCCAGAAUCCUACCGGAGGGAGCAGUAGGGAAUCAUUGGCAAUGGACGGAAGUCUGGACGAGCAACGCCGCGUGAGGGAAGAAGGGUUUCGGAUCUGAAAGCUCUGUUGUAAGAGAAGAAAGAGUGGGAGAGUGGAACGUUCACGCUGUGACGGUAUCUUACCAGAAAGCGACGGCUAACUACGUG